rnacentral:precursor_RNA from 1 species
GAUUGGAUUGAGCCUUGGUAUGGAAACCUGCUAAGUGAUAACUUCCAAAUUCAGAGAAACCCUGGAACUAAAAAUGGGCAAUCCUGAGCCAAAUCUUUGUUUUGAGAAAAAAUACAAAAUGAGAAUAAAAAGGGAUAGGUGCAGAGACUCAACGGAAGCUGUUCUAACGAAUUGAAUUUACUACGUUAUAAAAGAUCGAAAUGACAGAAAGGAUGACCUUAUAUACCUAAUACAUACUGACAUAGCAAGCGAUUAAUAACAUUUCUUUAUAUUACUAUUAUCUUAUCUACUAUUAAGAUAUGAAUAUUGGUAUGAGUAUAGGAUAAGGAUAUAUAUAGAAACCCUCUAUUUCUAUUCUAUUAUUCUAUAGAAAUUAGAAUUAUAGACUAUGAAAAGUUGAAAUUCUAUCAAUAAGAAUCGAAUUCAAAUAUUCAGUUAUUCAGUGAUCAAAUGAUUUAUUCCAGAGUUUAAUAGAUUUUUUGAAGAUGAAUCGGACGAGAAUAAAGAGAGAGUCCCCUUUUACAUGUCAAUACCGACAACAAUGAAAUUUAUAGUAAGAGG